AUGCCCGUAAUUCCCGUCGCAAAUAAUGGUGGCCCUCGCCGCUCUCUAACCUGGUUCGUUGGUGGAGGUGUCCCCGUCAGUGCACCACCCUGGAGUAAUGGGGUGGGGGAAGAACCCAUGCCCGUCGUGCGGCCUCCCUGCGCUGUCGCGGGUCACCAUUAUUUGCGACGCCUACGAACGUGGGUUCCCCGAAUCCUGCGUCCACGUCUUGGGUCCGAUUAUGCGCCAGCCUCCGCCACCACCGCUGCCCAGCCGCCCUGGUGUGCGGGUGCGGCGGCCUCCUGUAGCGGUGACCCAGGACUGGAUGGUCAAAAUUGUGAUGCAGCAGUCAAGCAAACAAGAUUGCUAGCUGUUAACGGUCGCUUGGUUCCGGAGUCAUCACUGAGGCCUGUUACAGGAAGAAACUCUGGUAUCCUCAAGCAGCAAAAGAUCAAUUUGCUUGAUAUAGACGCAGCGUUGCCUGAGGAAGCUUUGAGAGCCUCAAAGUCUCAACAAAUAAGAAGGCGUUCAUGGCGUGCUUUCAUCAAACAUGCAGAAUCAAUAUCCGAGAUGGUACUGGCGACCAGCAUGUUGGAGAGAGUGAUAAAAUCCGAGUUCUUGAAGAAUGAUUGGUGGUACUGGUCCUCCUUCACAGUAGCUAUCAAGACCUCAACUGUAUCCUCGCUCGCUCUCAGGAUCUACACUCUUGACGACUGUAUCAUGUACACCAAGGAGCCUAACAUCGUGCUGGCUACAAAGGUUGUAAACAAGGGGAUGACGAGGAAAGAACCAGAACCAUCGGUGUCAUACUCUGCGCCGAUUGAUCUAUUUUAUACCCCAAACUUAAGAUGUUCUGCAGAGCAGUGCAAAACAAUUUGA
rnacentral:rRNA from 1 species